rnacentral:lncRNA from 1 species
UAGUUAGAUAAAAAUGUCCCUAUCAUAUUAUGAUAUCUUAGGCCAUAUUAUGGUAUUUUGGACUAUAUUAUGCCACAGAAUGUCAUAUAUUUUUUUUUCAAAAGAUAGAGAUAUUUUCGUCAUACAAAAUUUUUAAACGAAAAAAUCGACCUGGUAUUAAAUGCGCAUUGAAAAAUAGUGAUUACAUGGACCAAUCGAACGAGAUAGUGUACUUUACAUCGGAUUUUCUACACCGCCACAGUGCACAGAAUUUCUCUAAUAUCUUGUGGCAUA